rnacentral:rRNA from 1 species
AUUGAACGCUGGCGGCAGGCCUAACACAUGCAAGUCGAGCGGAUGAAGGGAGCUUGCUCCUGGAUUCAGCGGCGGACGGGUGAGUAAUGCCUAGGAAUCUGCCUGGUAGUGGGGGAUAACGUCCGGAAACGGGCGCUAAUACCGCAUACGUCCUGAGGGAGAAAGUGGGGGAUCUUCGGACCUCACGCUAUCAGAUGAGCCUAGGUCGGAUUAGCUAGUUGGUGGGGUAAAGGCCUACCAAGGCGACGAUCCGUAACUGGUCUGAGAGGAUGAUCAGUCACACUGGAACUGAGACACGGUCCAGACUCCUACGGGAGGCAGCAGUGGGGAAUAUUGGACGAUGGGCGAAAGCCUGAUCCAUCCAUGCCGCGUGUGUGAAGAAGGUCUUCGGAUUGUAAAGCACUUUAAGUUGGGAGGAAGGGCAGUAAGUUAAUACCUUGCUGUUUUGACGUUACCAACAGAAUAAGCACCGGCUAACUUCGUG